CCUACGGGUGGCAGCAGUGAGGAAUAUUGGUCAAUGGACGGAAGACUGAACCAGCCAAGCCGCGUGAAGGAGGACGGCACUGUGAAUUGUAAACUUCUUUUGUAAGGGAAUAAAGACUGGGACGUGUAGCGGUUUGAGUGUAUCUGACGAAUAAGGAUCGGCUAACUCCGUGCCAGCAGCCGCGGUAAUACGGAGGAUGCGAGCGUUAUCCGGAUUUAUUGGGUUUAAAGGGUGCGUAGGCGGUCGGUUAAGUUAGAGGUCAAAGGGCGGGGCUUAACCCCGUGCCCGCCUGUGAUACUGUUAGUCUAGAGUGCGGUGGAAGUAGGCGGAAUGCGCGGUGUAGCGGUGAAAUGCUUAGAUAUCACGCAGAACUCCGAUUGCGAAGGCAGCUUGC
rnacentral:rRNA from 1 species